UCCUCGUUAGUAUAGUGGUUUAAUAUCCCCGCUUGUCACGCGGGAGACCGGGGUUCAAUUUCCCGACGAGGAG